GACGAACGCUGGCGGCGUGCUUAACACAUGCAAGUCGAACGGUGAAGCGCCUUCCUUUUUGGUGGGUGUGGAUGAGUGGCGAACGGGUGAGUAACACGUGAGUAACCUGCCCCCUUCUUCUGGAUAACCGCAUGAAAGUGUGGCUAAUACGGGAUAUUCUGGGUCUGUCGCAUGAUGGGUCUGGGAAAGAUAUUGUUUCGGUGGGGGAUGGGCUCGCGGCCUAUCAGCUUGUUGGUGGGGUGAUGGCCUACCAAGGCGGUGACGGGUAGCCGGCCUGAGAGGGUGGACGGUCACACUGGGACUGAGACACGGACAAGACUCCUACGGGAGGCAGCAGUGGGGAAUAUUGCACAAUGGGCGCAAGCCUGAUGCAGCGACGCCGCGUGAGGGAUGGAGGCCUUCGGGUUGUGAACCUCUUUCGCCAGUGAAGCAGGCCUGCCUCGUUUGUGGGUGGGUUGACGGUAGCUGGAUAAGAAGCGCCGGCUAACUACGUG
rnacentral:rRNA from 1 species